rnacentral:rRNA from 1 species
AAAUUGAAGAGUUUGAUCAUGGCUCAGAUUGAACGCUGGCGGCAGGCCUAACACAUGCAAGUCGAGCGGUAGCACAGAGAGCUUGCUCUCGGGUGACGAGCGGCGGACGGGUGAGUAAUGUCUGGGAAACUGCCUGAUGGAGGGGGAUAACUACUGGAAACGGUAGCUAAUACCGCAUAAUGUCGCAAGACCAAAGUGGGGGACCUUCGGGCCUCAUGCCAUCAGAUGUGCCCAGAUGGGAUUAGCUAGUAGGUGGGGUAAUGGCUCACCUAGGCGACGAUCCCUAGCUGGUCUGAGAGGAUGACCAGCCACACUGGAACUGAGACACGGUCCAGACUCCUACGGGAGGCAGCAGUGGGGAAUAUUGCACAAUGGGCGCAAGCCUGAUGCAGCCAUGCCGCGUGUGUGAAGAAGGCCUUCGGGUUGUAAAGCACUUUCAGCGGGGAGGAAGGCGGUGAGGUUAAUAACCUCAUCGAUUGACGUUACCCGCAGAAGAAGCACCGGCUAACUCCGUGCCAGCAGCCGCGGUAAUACGGAGGGUGCAAGCGUUAAUCGGAAUUACUGGGCGUAAAGCGCACGCAGGCGGUCUGUCAAGUCGGAUGUGAAAUCCCCGGGCUUAACCUGGGAACUGCAUUCGAAACUGGCAGGCUAGAGUCUUGUAGAGGGGGGUAGAAUUCCAGGUGUAGCGGUGAAAUGCGUAGAGAUCUGGAGGAAUACCGGUGGCGAAGGCGGCCCCCUGGACAAAGACUGACGCUCAGGUGCGAAAGCGUGGGGAGCAAACAGGAUUAGAUACCCUGGUAGUCCACGCCGUAAACGAUGUCGAUUUGGAGGUUGUGCCCUUGAGGCGUGGCUUCCGGAGCUAACGCGUUAAAUCGACCGCCUGGGGAGUACGGCCGCAAGGUUAAAACUCAAAUGAAUUGACGGGGGCCCGCACAAGCGGUGGAGCAUGUGGUUUAAUUCGAUGCAACGCGAAGAACCUUACCUGGUCUUGACAUCCACAGAACUUAGCAGAGAUGCUUUGGUGCCUUCGGGAACUGUGAGACAGGUGCUGCAUGGCUGUCGUCAGCUCGUGUUGUGAAAUGUUGGGUUAAGUCCCGCAACGAGCGCAACCCUUAUCCUUUGUUGCCAGCGGUCCGGCCGGGAACUCAAAGGAGACUGCCAGUGAUAAACUGGAGGAAGGUGGGGAUGACGUCAAGUCAUCAUGGCCCUUACGACCAGGGCUACACACGUGCUACAAUGGCAUAUACAAAGAGAAGCGACCUCGCGAGAGCAAGCGGACCUCAUAAAGUAUGUCGUAGUCCGGAUUGGAGUCUGCAACUCGACUCCAUGAAGUCGGAAUCGCUAGUAAUCGUAGAUCAGAAUGCUACGGUGAAUACGUUCCCGGGCCUUGUACACACCGCCCGUCACACCAUGGGAGUGGGUUGCAAAAGAAGUAGGUAGCUUAACCUUCGGGAGGGCGCUUACCACUUUGUGAUUCAUGACUGGGGUGAAGUCGUAACAAGGUAACCGUAGGGGAACCUGCGGUUGGAUCACCUCCUUA